CCCAUCGAGAGAGGGCGGCAGACCCAUCGAGAGAGGGCGGGUCGGGGUCAGCUGCUGCAGGCGGGCGGGCGCGGGAGCUGUGGGCGGCCGCCGCAUAUUUUGCUGCCGCCCUACCUCCGCCACGAUGCCGGGGAUCGACAAGCUGCCCAUCGAGGAGACGCUGGAGGACAGCCCGCAGACAAGGUCUUUACUGGGUGUAUUUGAAGAAGAUGCUACAGCUAUUUCCAGCUAUAUGAACCAGUUGUAUCAAGCUAUGCAUCGGAUUUAUGAUGCACAGAAUGAAUUAAGUGCAGCAACACACCUGACUUCAAAACUUUUAAAAGAAUAUGAAAAACAGCGUUUUCCACUGGGGGGUGAUGAUGAAGUUAUGAGUUCUACUUUGCAACAGUUUUCAAAAGUUAUAGAUGAGCUUAGCUCUUGUCAUGCGGUACUUUCAACGCAGCUUGCUGAUGCCAUGAUGUUUCCCAUUACCCAGUUUAAAGAAAGAGAUCUGAAAGAAAUAUUGACAUUAAAGGAAGUGUUUCAGAUUGCUAGUAAUGAUCAUGAUGCUGCAAUUAACAGAUACAGCAGAUUGUCAAAAAAAAGAGAAAAUGACAAGGUGAAGUAUGAAGUAACAGAAGAUGUCUACACUUCCAGAAAAAAACAACACCAGACCAUGAUGCAUUAUUUUUGUGCAUUAAAUACUCUUCAGUACAAAAAGAAAAUAGCAUUGUUAGAACCUCUACUUGGGUACAUGCAAGCUCAGAUAAGUUUCUUUAAGAUGGGUUCUGAAAAUCUCAAUGACCAACUGGAAGAAUUCUUAACUAAUAUUGGAACAAGUGUACAGAAUGUUCGCAGGGAAAUGGACAGUGAUGUAGAGACCAUGCAGCAGACAAUAGAGGAUUUGGAAGUAGCCAGUGACCCCUUGUAUGUGCCUGACCCAGAUCCCACAAAAUUUCCUGUUAAUCGAAACUUAACCCGAAAGGCUGGAUACCUUAAUGCUAGGAAUAAAACAGGCUUGGUGUCAUCUACCUGGGACAGACAGUUUUACUUCACACAGGGUGGAAACCUAAUGAGUCAGGCCCGUGGGGACGUAGCAGGAGGCCUGGCCAUGGACAUAGACAACUGUUCAGUAAUGGCUGUGGACUGUGAAGACAGGCGAUACUGUUUUCAGAUCACUUCUUUUGAUGGCAAAAAGUCUUCAAUUUUGCAAGCAGAGAGUAAAAAAGACCAUGAAGAGUGGAUCUGUACAAUAAAUAACAUAUCUAAACAGAUAUAUUUAACUGAAAACCCAGAGGAAAUUGCUGCACGAGUAAAUCAGUCAGCUUUGGAAGCUGUCACUCCUUCCCCGUCUUUCCAGCAGAGGCACGAGAGCCUGCGGCCAGCAGGACAAUCUCGGCCACUGACAGCUCGAACCAGCAGUUCAGGAUCCAUAGCAUCUGAGUCCACAAAUUUGGCUGCCCUCUCUCUAGAUUCUCUCGUUGCCCCAGACACCCCAAUACAGUUUGACAUCAUUUCUCCUGUGUGUGAAGAUCAGCCUGGCCAGGCAAAAGCCUCUGGCCAGGGAGGCAGGCGUACAAAUCCAUUUGGAGAAUCUGGAGGAGGUACCAGAUCUGAAACUGAAGAUUCUAUUCUUCAUCAGUUGUUUAUUGUCCGAUUCCUUGGUUCUAUGGAGGUGAAGUCAGAUGACAAUCCAGAUGUUGUUUAUGAAACAAUGCGCCAAAUCUUAGCUGCCCGGGCCAUCCAUAACAUCUUUCGUAUGACAGAAUCACAUUUAUUAGUCUCUUGUGAUUGUUUAAAGUUAAUUGAUCCACAGACACAAGUUACAAGGCUCAUGUUUCCAUUACCCAGUGUAGUUUUGUAUGCUACACACCAGGAAAAUAAGAGGCUUUUUGGAUUUGUUCUUCGGACAUCAGGAGGGAGAAGUGAAAGUAAUCUGUCAUCAGUCUGCUAUAUAUUUGAAUCAAACAAUGAGGGUGAAAAGAUUUGUGAUUCUGUUGGACUGGCAAAACAGAUAGCUUUGCAUGCAGAACUGGAUCGCAGGGCAUCAGAAAAACAAAAAGAAAUAGAGAGAGUAAAAGAGAAGCAACAGAAAGAACUCAGUAAACAAAAACAAAUUGAAAAGGACUUAGAAGAACAAAGUCGGUUGAUAGCUGCUUCCAGUAGACCAAACCAAGCCAGUAGUGAGGGGCAGUUUGUUGUCCUUAGCAGUAGCCAGUCAGAAGAGAGUGAUUUGGGAGAAGAAGGAAAGAAGAGAGAGUCAGAAGCAUAAACUUAUCCUUACUUUUUGGUUGAUAUUCACCCCCCACCCCUUUGAAUUUGUUGACAGUUUCUGUGGUGAAAUGGCACAAGAAAUAAUAUACUAUGCAGUAACUUCAAAUUCCACAUGUCUAAAAGAAACCUGUUCAUAUCCCUGAAGUAGAUUGCUGAGGAAUUACAGUUGCUCAAGCCUGUUCUUCCUUCAAAUUGUGAACUUAUUACCUUGCAUUGUAAUUGGCUCUGACCAUAAGAAAUCAUUUAUUCUUCAGCUUCAGAUAUUCAUGGAUAUGCUCCCUCUCUUUCAUUAGGAACAAUUGCUGGCAGUGAGGAAGCUUUUGACUGAAUAGGUUUAAAAUCCUUAUACAGAUAAUUCUACAAGUUUGCAAAUAUUUUAACAAUGUUAAAUGUGCAAUAGAACUUUUACAAAAUAAUUAGAAUAGAGAUUUUAGACUUAAGGUUUCAAGUUGUGGCAGGUGGUACUGUUGAUUUCAGGGCAUUUUCUUGGAUUGCUCGCCUUUCUCUGAUGUACUACACCUGAUGCCAGUGGGAAAGAAGCUUAUGGGAAAGAAGCUUAAGUGUCUUCAGUUCAAGAUUGCUACAGCCCUUGGCAUUUUAUUAUCACAUUCUUAGUUCUCAGGUUGGGACUUGAAUUAUUGCUGCAGAGCAGUAAUGGUUAAAAUAAGAUUUUGGAAUUUAUUAAAAGGGAUUUUUUUGUUGUUUAAAUACAUUUUAGAUUAGGAUUUAACAUGUAAAGAUAUUGUUACAGGAUACAUUGUAUUUUCUGCAUUGUGUGAAAUAAUUUUUAUUGAAAAUCAAGUGACAUUUAGAAAGAAGUUCUAUAGCAAUUGUUUCCUGCUUAAAAAUUCUCAGAAUUUAGUUUAAAAAUGUAAUCUUUUAAAUUUCAGACUGAUAGCCCACAGUAUUUUCAUAAUUCCAUGUUUUUAUAAAAUACUGAUCAUCACUUUAUAUCUGUGAAGGCAAAUAAUAUAUGAGAAUAGAAUAAUUUGCACUAAUUAUUGUAAAUACUUGUCCUCUUUAAAUAAGUAGAGUGAAAGGUCUAAUUCCAUGAAAGACUGAAAAGCAAUUGAGUGCUUGUUAUGGGAGAGUCAACCCAGGAAGGAUUUUAACCUGGUGCCAAGGUUAAAAUGACAUUUCUCUACUGCCUAAUUCUAUGUCAAAACUUGAUUUUUUUUUUAACUUGGAUUUUUAACAUUGCUGAUAGAAAUUAUGUUCCUGUGUUUCACAUGUAAAAGUAUAUAUGGCCAAGUUAAAUAUUAUUGAAUAAAAUAUUUUACACAGUCAUGCAUUUCAAAUUUUCAGGAGAUUAGCCACUAAGACUAAUUUUACAAGGGAAAAGCCUUUUGUUAUUUAACAUAUAGUUUUUUCUUUUUAGUUCUGAUUUAGAAAUGGCAUACAGUUCUCACAAUAUAGUGUGGGUGUUUCACACUGUAUAUACAUUUUUUUCUGUAGGAAUGGGAUAGAUAAUUAUAUAUAGGAUCAUGAUUUUUUUUAGCCAUGUGCCAAAUGGGAAUAAUGAUUACUUAAUCAUUAUUUUGAAGCCUUAUGUUACCAAAACAGAUAGUAAAAAAGUAGAAAUUUAUGGAAUACUUUUUGAAAAGAGUUUAUUUUGUCCUUGCUAAAGGGAAUGCUUUCACAGUAGUUUGUGUAUCAUUCCUUUUGUAGAAAUUGAAAUUUCUUCUGUGGUCAGCAUUUGCUUAGUCACGGCAGGUCCUGCUUUUAAGAACUUUUUGAGAAUUAGUAAGCUCUUUGUUUCAGUAAGUCUUUUGUUUUACUAUAAAGUUGUUACCUCACUUAGUUCAGAUGUAACUUGUCAGCCACCAUGCAGGGAAGGUGGUCAGCAUUAGGAGGCAGUUUUACUAGACUGGUGCUUUACAUGGUAGCGUACUACUGCCCUUGGUGAGCACUCUGGGUCAAAGUGUAGGCUAAAGUGAAGGGUACUGGCAGACUUAGGGAUGCUGGACAGACUUGUGGUUCCUUUUAAGUCAUGUUUUGAUAGGAAUUUCCACAAUACACACCCAUGUCCAUAGGUCAGACCAAAGUGCUUUCCAGUGCCAAAUAGAAGUCAUGCAUGGGUUUAACAAUUUUAGAUGAUUCAGCUUCUGUUCCAUUACUGUAGAACCAUAUGAACGAUUCCAUUACUGCAGAUAUUUAAGGAUCAACUUUAAUAAAUUCUGUGUUUUGUUUAAAGAAGGCUCCCCAUGGAUUUCUGUGUAAUGUUAAAGCUGAUCUUUGUUACCCUUUGAAAUCCCUUCAAGCUUUUGGAUGCUUUGGUGGUGAUUGAAUUAGAUUUUGGGAUAUCUUUCUCAGACUUGAACUUGCACUUAAUGGUUUUAGAAAUUAACAAAACUGAUUCUUUAAAAGGAAAGAAAUUAAGUCUACCUAAUUCUGCUAGGCACUCUUGCUACCUAUGUCAACAGUACUUUUGUAACUAUGGUAGUGAAGUCAAUAGAUAGGAAACUGAUUAUUCCUUCCCCCUUGUAAAAUUGGGAAAACUUGCUAACAAGGGACUAAAACUGUUGCCUAGAACACAGUCCCCAGUCUAGUUUUUGCCAUGUCUACAAUGAUUACUUUGUGUUUAAUUUCAAAAGAAUUCUCAGAUUCCACAUUCUAGGGGUGGUAAAUUUAUGUUACUUUUAUGCUUGAGGAAAGGAUAGUAGGGUGUGCAUACCAUUCUACAUAACAUAUAAUCAUAUGUGGUAAAGGCAUCUGAGUUAAUUUUGAGUUAUAUAUAGGAACUGCAAGUAUUUAAGAUUUGAAUCUUCUUAUACCUGCUGACAGACCCUAAGAGCCUGUGUUUUGUAAAACCUCUGCCACCCAAAUUAAUAAAAUGAAAAUAUUAACAUUGGUUUUGAUAACAGCCUCCUAGCAUUCAAACUGUACUUUAAAUAUUCAAACACACUGAUUGUAGCAAGCAAGCCUUUGACUUUAUUUUUAUCAAGUUCGGCUUACUUUUCUUUCAUGAGAUUUUUUUCUUCCAUAUUAAUUAAUAAUACAUAAAAAUUUGAAACUGGAACUAUAUUAUACUUUUUAACUAAUCUCUUGUGGCUGUACUCGUGUAAUUUACUUAGGGUAAUAUGAGAACUGGGGAUUAAGUUAUAACUAAUGUGCAAAACCACUUUGUAUAUUUGGUGAUUUUGUAAUGUAAGUGAAUUGGUUCAUUCUUAUUUCACUGAUACUAUUAAUCAUGCAUAUACAAUUAAAAUUUAUGCUUCAUUUCCCUUUAGAAUUAAAUUUGAAAAACUCGACUUUAUGUAAUGGUGGUAUGCAUGUGGAGUGAAGAACUUAUUUUUUCAUUUUGUCAAAAUAAGUAUUCCUGACAAGGCUUCAGGAAAUAUGCUGUUAGGAGAUUUUUAAUGUAUAAUAAAGUCCAUGAUUUUU